rnacentral:tRNA from 1 species
AAGACUUUAAGUUAAAAAAAACUAUGUGCCUUCAAAGUACAAAUUAAACAUUAUUAAGUCUUA